rnacentral:lncRNA from 1 species
AGGACUAUCAGGAAGUAGCCUCAGGGCUGGUGUAUGUCAAUUGGUAGUCUGGGAGAGAAGCUUGGGAGUUGGAAGCAUAAUCACCUGAAAAGAGGCAGCAACUGCUUUCAGAGGAUGUUUUGGAAGUACAUGAUCAGGAGAUAGUAGCUCACCAGCAGUGGCCCCGGGGCCUAUCCCAGUUUACCAAGCAAGGAGAAGCCUGUGAAGCUCUUGCUGGAGUCAGAUUGAACUGGAUUCUGUUUUCUGGCCAACAGAGAUGGGAGCCAGAGGGGGUGAAUAUUAUCCUUUAUCCUGGACUUCUGGUCCCCCUGCAAGAGAGGCUUGAAGACUAUGCUGCACAUCAAUAUGGCGACCCUCCACAUUGUUCAGAGAGAGGAAAAAAAUUCUCUGUGUGUGUCAGUGGGACAGACAACAGGCCCCACCUGUCUACAAACCAUGAGGCUGUGGGUUUUGGUGGGAUAGGCAACAGGCUGGAACUCUGGAGCUUCUGAGUCCUGAUCCCAAAUCUCAUUACUUCCAAGCCUUGUUGAAAGAAUAUAAACAAAUCUCCAUGCAUUCUAGCUCACUUUACUGGUCUGUUAAUAUCUCCAGAGCCUAGCAUGGUACCCUACAAAUAACAAGAAAUUAAUCUAAAUUUUAUUAAUUAUUUCUUAAGUUGGAAAAAGAAUGUUAACUGAACGUCUCCUCAGGUGGAUAGCCUAAAGUCAGGAAAUCUCUUUGAGGGCAAAAUAUUUUAAAAAGAAACUUAAAUCCCAGCAUCUAUAAUUUCUACAUGUAACUGGUACUUAUUAAAUGCUCUAACUGACCUCAAAUCAUGCCGCAGACACAUACCAAGAUGCAUGUGACCCACAGACAAGUCAUUUAACCUUCACUGUUUUUCAGACAAAUCUCCAAGCCAAUAGAGUAUAGAUGAGUUGCCUUUCUGCAUUAGGGGAGGGAAUUUCCAUCUCACUUGCAGCCAUGAAAUCUUUAUUCAGCACCAUAUAAUUGUUUUAGGGUCUGCUUUUGAGGAUAUUAAAGCAAUGACACUUGGGCAUUUAUAAACAUAGAACAAUGCUCCAGUAGGUGUUUAUUAAUUAUAAAAGCAUAGACACAAUGAUUAGAUACCAACUACAAUUCCUUUACAAUUACAUUAGAUCAUAGAUUUAGAUAUGACAGGAAGAGUGGCAGUCAUUUACUUUGAUCUUCUUACUUUUCAUAUUAUUAUACAGAGAUCCAGAGAAUUAAAUAAAGUAAAGCACCUAAGGUAAUACA